GAUGAACGCUGGCGGCGUGCCUAAUACAUGCAAGUCGAGCGAACAGAUGAGGAGCUUGCUCCUCUGACGUUAGCGGCGGACGGGUGAGUAACACGUGGAUAACCUCCCUAUAAGACUGGGAUAACUUCGGGAAACCGGAGCUAAUACCGGAUAAUAUAUUGAAGCGCAUGGUUCAAUGGUGAAAGUCGGUUUUGGUGUCUGUUAUAGAGGGAUCCGAGCCGCAUUAGCUAGUUGGUAAGUUAACGGCUUAGCAAGGGAACGAGGCGUAUCCGAAGUGAGAGAGUGAUCGGCCACAUUGGAACUGGGCCACGGUCCAGACGCCUACGGGAGGCAGCAGUAUGGAACGUUAGGCAAUGGGCGAAAGCCUGACGGAGCAACGCCGCGUGAGUGAUGAAGGUCCUCGGAUCGUAAAACUCUGUUAUUAGGGAAGAACAAAUGUGUAAGUAACUAUGCCCGUCUUGACGGUACCUAAUAAGAAAGCCACGGCUAACUACGUG
rnacentral:rRNA from 1 species